UUAAGUUGAAGAGUUUGAUCAUGGCUCAGAUUGAACGCUGGCGGCAGGCCUAACACAUGCAAGUCGAACGGUAACAGGAAACAGCUUGCUGUUU
rnacentral:rRNA from 1 species